GACAUAGGUUGCGAACGUUAUCCGGAAUUAUUGGGCGUAAAGGAUGCGUAGAUGGUUUGAUAAGUUAUCAGUGGCAAAUCGGGGCUCAACCUCGUGGAAGUUGGUAAUACUGUCAUACUUGAGUGCAGGAGAGGUUAACGGAACUCUAUAUGGAGCGGUAAAAUGUGACGAUAUAUAGAAGAACACCAAAUAAGGCGAAAGGCAGUUAACUAUUCUGUUACUGACAUUGAGGCAUGAAAGCGUGGGGAGCAAAACGG
rnacentral:rRNA from 1 species